CUACGGGAGGCUCCAGUGGGGAAUAUUGGACAAUGGGCGAAAGCCUGAUCCAGCCAUGCCGCGUGUGUGAAGAAGGUCUUCGGAUUGUAAAGCACUUUAAGUUGGGAGGAAGGGCAGUAAGUUAAUACCUUGCUGUUUUGACGUUACCGACAGAAUAAGCACCGGCUAACUUCGUGCCAGCAGCCGCGGUAAUACGAAGGGUGCAAGCGUUAAUCGGAAUUACUGGGCGUAAAGCGCGCGUAGGUGGUUCGUUAAGUUGGAUGUGAAAGCCCCGGGCUCAACCUGGGAACUGCAUCCAAAACUGGCGAGCUAGAGUAUGGCAGAGGGUGGUGGAAUUUCCUGUGUAGCGGUGAAAUGCGUAGUUAUAGGAAGGAACACCAGUGGCGAAGGCGACCACCUGGGCUAAUACUGACACUGAGGUGCGAAAGCGUGGGGAGCAAACAGGAUUAGAUACCCUAGUAGUC
rnacentral:rRNA from 1 species